GAGUUUGAUCGUGGCUCAGGACGAACGCUGGCGGCGUGCUUAACACAUGCAAGUCGAACGGUAAGGCUCCAGCUUGCUGGGGUACACGAGUGGCGAACGGGUGAGUAACACGUGGGUGACCUGCCCUGCACUUCGGGGAUAAGCCUGGGAAACUGGGUCUAAUACCGGAUAGGACCGCACCGUGAGGGUGUGGUGGAAAGUUUUUUCGGUGUGGGAUGGGCCCGCGGCCUAUCAGCUUGUUGGUGGGGUAAUGGCCUACCAAGGCGGCGACGGGUAGCCGGCCUGAGAGGGUGGACGGCCACAUUGGGACUGAGACACGGCCCAGACUCCUACGGGAGGCAGCAGUGGGGAAUAUUGCACAAUGGGCGGAAGCCUGAUGCAGCGACGCCGCGUGGGGGAUGACGGCCUCGGUU
rnacentral:rRNA from 1 species